rnacentral:rRNA from 1 species
ACCAUCCUAAGGUAGCGAAAUUCCUUGUCGGGUAAGUUCCGACCUGCACGAAUGGCGUAACGACUUCUCCGCUGUCUCAACCGCGAACUCGGUGAAAUUGCAGUACGAGUAAAGAUGCUCGUUUCGCGCAGAAGGACGGAAAGACCCCGGGACCUUUACUAUAGCUUGGUAUUGGUGUUCGCUUGGACUUGUGUAGGAUAGGUGGGAGACUGUGAAGCUGCCGCGCCAGCGGUGGUGGAGUCGUCGUUGAAAUACCAUUCUGGUUUAAGCGGUCACCUUAACCUUGGCCCGUGAUCCGGGUUGGGGACAGUGCCUGGUGGGUAGUUUAACUGGGGCGGUUGCCUCCUAAAAUGUAACGGAGGCGCUCAAAGGUUCCCUCAGCCUGGUUGGUAAUCAGGUGGCGAGUGCAAGUGUACAAGGGAGCUUGACUGUGAGACCGACGGGUCGAGCAGGUGCGAAAGCAGGAACUAGUGAUCCGGCCAUGGCACGUGGGUGCGUGGUCGCUCAACGGAUAAAAGGUACCCCGGGGAUAACAGGCUGAUCUUGCCCAAGAGUCCAUAUCGACGGCAUGGUUUGGCACCUCGAUGUCGGCUCGUCGCAUCCUGGGGCUGGAGUCGGUCCCAAGGGUUGGGCUGUUCGCCCAUUAAAGCGGUACGCGAGCUGGGUUCAGAACGUCGUGAGACAGUUCGGUCCCUAUCCUCUGUGCGCGCAGGAAAUUUGAGGAGGGCCGUCCCUAGUACGAGAGGACCGGGAUGGACGAACCUCUGGUGUGCCAGUUGUACCGCCAGGUGCAUGGCUGGUUAGCUACGUUCGGAAGGGAUAACCGCUGAAAGCAUCUAAGCGGGAAGCCUGCUCCAAGAUGAGGUUUCCACGCCCCACUUGUGGGGUGAGAGGCCCCCGCCAGACGAGCGGGUUGAUAGGCCAGAGGUGGAAGCACCGCGAGGUGCUCGCGAGCCGACUGGUACUAAUGGGCCAACACUAAACAAC